UUCACUGUGAGAAUGAAGGAGGAAGAGGAGCUAUCAAUGGACAGUGGAGAUGAAAUGUCCAGCGAUAGUCUGGAUCUGGCUUCACAUGACGGAGGCUCUUCAGAUGAAGACGCACAGAUGCGCGGACGUUUAACGAGACGGAGAUCCAGAGAAGGAGAGCAAGGGAUUUCUGCCACGUCUCAUCUCGGAGAUUCCUUUGUUCCUGCACAUGCAGACGUAGAAAAGGAUCUGCAGACUGAUGAGCCAGAACGGCUGUCAGAAGAACCAUACACGGGCUGUGGUGUUAAAGAAGGUGCACGCCACCGAGAGAAACGGAGUGGAUUAAAAAGACACCCCCGUGAAUGGACCCGAAUGAUCUAUCAGCCAUUUAAUGAGUCAGAGUCUCCUGGACCAAGCGGCCGCCUCAGUACCAACACUGAGGGACACCUGUUUUUAAAAAUGGACAACAACAUGCAGGCAACUGGAAUUCAAAUUCGCUCGGCCACAACUUCCAGGAGAGGAGAAACAUCAGCAUAUGAACAAGCUACAUCUGCGUCUAACUGGUCGGGCAAGUCCUCUCCGACUCCUCCUCACCCCGCCAAAACAACCCCAAGUCCUCUCCCGGAACACGUCUCUCCCUGCCUCUCUCAUUCCCCAUCUCGUCCUCCUCGCUCUGCCUGCCUGUCCCGGCCCACGUCAGGCUCGGAAUUGAGCCCAGCAUUCCGCCUGUUGUCCCGGGCGGCCCAGCAGAUCACGGAGAACUGUGGCGUGGACCAGACGGGCUGCGGGGACUCUGACCUGGACACAGCUGCACACACGCUCUGCGGCCUCGAGCAAGGACUCCCGCUCAUGGCCCCGGGUACAGACGCGCCAAAAACACUACAGACUAAGGCGACAUCCAUACUGCUACAUCCUUGCUUUAAAACAGCAUUUUAAAACCUCAACCACAUCGUUUCCUAACCUCUCCGUUUUUUGCCCAUCCGCUCAACGUUCCCCCCGAUUUUUCAAAAGAAAAAACGGGGUCAGCAGCAAACUCCGGAGUAGUGUCGUCGCCGGGUGUAAACUUAAGGA
rnacentral:lncRNA from 1 species